rnacentral:rRNA from 1 species
UACGUAGGGUGCAAGCGUUAAUCGGAAUUACUGGGCGUAAAGCGUGCGCAGGCGGUUUUGUAAGUCUGUCGUGAAAUCCCCGGGCUCAACCUGGGAAUUGCGAUGGAGACUGCAAGGCUAGAAUCUGGCAGAGGGGGGUGGAAUUCCACGUGUAGCAGUGAAAUGCGUAGAGAUGUGGAGGAACACCGAUGGCGAAGGCAGCCCCCUGGGCUGAGAUUGACGCUCAGGCACGAAAGCGUGGGGAGCAAACAGG